rnacentral:ncRNA from 1 species
AGAGGGUGAGAAACCCUCUCGCAAAGACCAGGGGUUCCUGCUUAAAGUUAAUCUGAGCAGGGUUAGCCGGCCCCUAAGGUGAGGCGGAAACGCGUAGCUGAUGGGAACCACAUUUUAGAGCAUUCUUUUUCUAUAUGAAUUUUAUCUAGCAAUUGAAAUUUUUGUAAAAAGCCAUUUAGUAGAGCAUUUGACGACAUUUUUGAUGUGAAAAAAAAUCAGCUAGCAUAAGUGCGUGAUACGUUUUCCCUUGUAAAGUAGCAUUAAUAAUUUCUUCAAUAUAUAAUACAUGAGUAUCGCAAAUUAUAUCUUUUACAUGUUGUUCUGUUAUUAAAUCAUCUUCG